GAUGAACGCUGGCGGCGUGCCUAAUACAUGCGAGUCGAACGCUGGAGAUCUAGCUUGCUGGAUUGAAGGAGUGGCGAACGGGUGAGUAAUACAUAAGCAACCUACCCACGAAUACUGGGAUAAUCUCUGGAAACGGGGACUAAUACCGGAUAGGUAAUCGGAAGGCAGCUUCUGAUUAUUAAAGGUUAAAAACUCGGGUUGAUGUGCUUAUGGCGCAUUAGUUAGUUGGUGAGGUAACGGCCCACCAAGUCGAUGAUGCGUAGGCGUCCGGCGGGGGUGAACGGUCACAGUGGGACCGGCCAAAGGCGCAGAGUCAUACGGGCGGCAGUCGUAGGGGAGUCUCGGGUAGGGGGGAAACCCUGACCGAGCGACGCCGCGUGCGGGAUGACGGCCUUCGGGAUGUAAAGCUCUGUUGUAAGGGAAGCAUGGUAGAGAGAGAAUAUCUAAAUGACGGUAACUUACAAGAAAGCAACGGCUAACUACGUG
rnacentral:rRNA from 1 species